AUUGAACGCUGGCGGCAUGCCUUACACAUGCAAGUCGAACGGCAGUACGGGAGCUUGCUCCUGGUGGCGAGUGGCGAACGGGUGAGUAAUACAUCGGAACGUACCCUGAAGUGGGGGAUAACGUAGCGAAAGUUACGCUAAUACCGCAUAUUCUGUGAGCAGGAAAGAGGGGGGAUCGCAAGACCUCUUGCUUUAGGAGCGGCCGAUGUCGGAUUAGCUAGUUGGUGAGGUAAAGGCUCACCAAGGCGACGAUCCGUAGCGGGUCUGAGAGGAUGAUCCGCCACACUGGGACUGAGACACGGCCCAGACUCCUACGGGAGGCAGCAGUGGGGAAUUUUGGACAAUGGGCGCAAGCCUGAUCCAGCCAUGCCGCGUGAGUGAAGAAGGCCUCGGGUU
rnacentral:rRNA from 1 species